ensembl:snoRNA
UGCAUUUGGCAUAUGUUUUUUGUCCAAUUUGGACAAAGACUGAGAUACAGGUACAAAAAAUAAAUCCUCUUUCGCAACCCAAAACUCAUUGAUCAGUAUGAGUUUUGAUACAUACAAGUAGGAAUAGG